GACGAACGCUGGCGGCGUGCCUAACACAUGCAAGUCAACUUGACUGAAGGAGCAAUCUGACAGUAGAGUGGCGCAAGGGUGCGUAACGCGUAAGUAACUUGCCCAAGGUAAGGAAUAACGUCGAGAAAUCGGCGCUAAUACCUCAUAAUGCAGCGGAUCCGCAUGGAUAUGUUGUUAAAGGUUUACCGCCUUGGGAUAGGCUUGCGUCUGAUUAGCUAGUUGGUGUGGUAACGGCACACCAAGGCUACGAUCAGUAACUGGUCUGAGAGGAUGAUCAGUCACACUGGAACUGAGACACGGUCCAGACUCCUACGGGAGGCAGCAGUGAGGAAUAUUGGUCGAAUAGCUCGAA
rnacentral:rRNA from 1 species